rnacentral:rRNA from 1 species
UACGUAGGCAGCGAGCGUUGUUCGGAAUUACUGGGCGUAAAGAGUGUGUAGGCGGUGCUCUAAGUUCGGUGUGAAAUCUCCUGCUUAACUGGGAGGGUGCGCCGGAAACUGGGGUGCUCGAGCGUGGGAGAGGAAAGCGGAAUCCUGGUGUAGCGGUGAAAUGCGUAGAUAUCAGGAGGAACACCUGUGGUGUAGACAGCUUUCUGGACCAUUGCUGACGCUGGAGACACGAAAGCGUGGGGAGCAAACAGG